UAUGACCGUAAUGCCGCGUUGGCGCUACGUUUACAGCCAUGGAUUGUACCUCUUGGGUUGGCGGUUGCGGGUUCGAUCCCCGCA